UAGUUUUCAUGAGGACAGGUUCUCUCUAUAGAGACUGACCAUGAUACCCAAGAUUUGAUGUGCUCAGACAUGCCCUCACCCUGUCAUUAUGUGCUGUGUAAUUUCUGGUAAACAACUCUUAUCAGAAACAGGUAUGGAGGUUUCAAUUUCACGUCAUUAGAGAACUUGCUCCUGAACUGAGCAGGGUAGUUCAGUCCUCACAGAUCAGAAACAUCUCCCUCCUGACCAGAGUGACUGAGGAUGGAUCUUGUCAAGAGGAGCGUCAAGACGUCAUACUGCAGUGGGCUGAGGAACUGAAUCACUCACCACAGACUGGACAGGACAAUGACCCAACACACCUCAAGGCUGUGUAAGGGCUAUUUUACCAAGAAGGAGAGGGAUGUAGUGCUGCAUCAGAUGACCUAGCCUACACAAUCACCCGACCUCAACCAAAUUGAGAUG